GAUGAACGCUAGCGGCAGGCUUAAUACAUGCAAGUCGUGGGGCAGCAGGUUUGUAGCAAUACAGAUGCUGGCGACCGGCAAACGGGUGCGGAACACGUACACAACCUUCCUUUAAGUGGGGAAUAGCCCAGAGAAAUUUGGAUUGAUACCCCGUAACAUUAUGAUGUGGCAUCACAUUAUAAUUAUAGCUACGGCGCUUAAUGAUGGGUGUGCGGCUGAUUAGGUAGUUGGCGGGGUAACGGCCCACCAAGCCUGCGAUCAGUAACUGGUGUGAGAGCACGACCAGUCACACGGGCACUGAGACACGGGCCCGACUCCUACGGGAGGCAGCAGUAAGGAAUAUUGGGCAAUGGAGGAAACUCUGACCCAGCCAUGCCGCGUGGAGGAUGAAGGUCCUCUGGAUUGUAAACUUCUUUUAUAUGGGACGAAAAAGGGUCUUUCUAGGUCAACUGACGGUACCAUAUGAAUAAGCACCGGCUAACUCCGUGCCAGCAGCCGCAGUAACAC
rnacentral:rRNA from 1 species